UACGGGGGGGGCAAGCGUUGUUCGGAAUUACUGGGCGUAAAGGGCUCGUAGGCGGCCAACUAAGUCAGACGUGAAAUCCCUCGGCUUAACCGGGGAACUGCGUCUGAUACUGGAUGGCUUGAGGUUGGGAGAGGGAUGCGGAAUUCCAGGUGUAGCGGUGAAAUGCGUAGAUAUCUGGAGGAACACCGGUGGCGAAGGCGGCAUCCUGGACCAAUUCUGACGCUGAGGAGCGAAAGCCAGGGGAGCAAAGCGGG
rnacentral:rRNA from 1 species